GUGCUCGCUUCGGCAGCACAUAUACUAAAAUUGGAAUGAUACAGAGAAGAUUAGCAUGGCCCCUGCACAAGGAUGACAUGCAAAUUCGUGAAGUGUUCCAUAUUUUU
rnacentral:snRNA from 1 species